AGGACGAACGCUGGCGGUGUGCUUCACACAUGCAAGUCGAACGAGGUAGCAAUACCUAGUGGCGGACGGGUGAGUAACGCGUGGGAAUCUGCCUUUAGAUGGGGGAUAACGGGCCGAAAGGUCCGCUAAUACCGCAUAGGCCGCAAGGUUAAAGGAGUAAUCCGUCUAAAGAUGAGCCCGCGUCCGAUUAGCUAGUUGGUAGGGUAAAAGCCUACCAAGGCGACGAUCGGUAGCUGGUCUGAGAGGAUGAUCAGCCACAAUGGGACUGAGACACGGCCCAUACUCCUACGGGAGGCAGCAGUGGGGAAUUUUGUGCAAUGGGCGAAAGCCUGACACAGCGACACCGCGUGAGCGAAGAAGCCCUUUGGGGUGUAAAGCUCUGUCAGCUAGGAACGAAAAAUGACGGUACCAGCAGAGGAAGCAUCGGCUAACUACGCGCCAGCACGCCGC
rnacentral:rRNA from 1 species